rnacentral:rRNA from 1 species
ACGGCGAGUGAAGCGGCAACAGCUCAAAUUUGAAAUCUGGCUCUCUUUGGGGGUCCGAGUUGUAAUUUGCAGAGGAUGCUUUGGCAUUGGCGGCGGUCUAAGUUCCUUGGAACAGGACAUCACAGAGGGUGAGAAUCCCGUACGUGGUCGCCUGCCUUUGCCGUGUAAAGCUCCUUCGACGAGUCGAGUUGUUUGGGAAUGCAGCUCUAAAUGGGAGGUAAAUUUCUUCUAAAGCUAAAUACUGGCCAGAGACCGAUAGCGCACAAGUAGAGUGAUCGAAAGAUGAAAAGUACUUUGGAAAGAGAGUCAAAAAGCACGUGAAAUUGUUGAAAGGGAAGCGCUUGCAGCCAGACUUGCCCGCAGUUGCUCACCUAGGCUUUCGCCUGGGGCACUCUUCUGCGGGCAGGCCAGCAUCAGUUUGGGCGGUUGGAUAAAGGCCUCUGUCACGUAUCUCCCUUCGGGGUGACCUUAUAGGGGAGGCGCAAUGCAACCAGCCCGGACUGAGGUCCGCGCAUCUGCUAGGAUGCUGGCGUAAUGGCUGUAAGCGGCCCGUCUUGAAACACGGACCAAGGAGUCUAACAUCUAUGCGAGUGUUUGGGUGUCAAGCCCGAGCGCGCAAUGAAAGUGAACGGAGGUGGGAACCUUAGGGUGCACCAUCGACCGAUCCUGAUGUCUUCGGAUGGAUUUGAGUAAGAGCAUAGCUGUUGGGACCCGAAAGAUGGUGAACUAUGCUUGAAUAGGGUGAAGCCAGAGGAAACUCUGGUGGAGGCUCGCAGCGGUUCUGACGUGCAAAUCGAUCGUCAAAUUUGGGCAUAGGGGCGAAAGACUAAUCGA